UUCUUGGCCCAAUUAAUUUUGCACUUAUUAUGGAGAUAGAUUUUUGUUUGUUAAACUGAUGUAUAGAAAGCAACUAUAUGUGGUGGCGGGUCCAUUUUUUUGGGUUCAUUGUAUUUGGCCUUGAAUUGUGCUUGGCCUUCAAUUUUACACGUGGUGUUUUCUUUUUGGGAUGAGAUUGCAAUUGUUAAAAUAUUAAAUGAAUGAAGAUAUAAGGAUAAGUAAAGUACAGGAAGCAUGGGUGGCGGGUCAAUUGUGAUUAUUAUGUUGGACUUUAGAUAUUUGAUUUGAUUUUUGGUGGUAGAUUUUUGUUCAAGUGUCGGUGGAAUUGCAUUAUAAAUAGAGUGUUUGUGCACAUAUGGUAUUAACUGAAAGAAAGCAGAGAUAGAAAAUUAGAGAAUGAGAAAUAUAGUGAGGAAGUCGAGAGUCUCAGAGAAGGCAAAACUUGAUGAAUUUGAUGAUCCAGUGUGGAAUAAUGGUUUUACAGUGUAGGGAUCAUCAUACCUUGAAUGGCUUGGAUAAUUUUAUUUCAAAAAUUUUGUUAAUUGUUAUUUUGCUAAAAUUGCAUAUAUGUAUUUUGUUUAAAAGCAUAUAUAUAUUUUUGUAAAGCAAAUUUAUCAUGAAACUCUUUGAAAUCCUUAUUAUGGUUUUUCCUACUGUUUCACCCCCUACAGUUUCAGGUACCGAGGAUGAACUUGGAUUCAUAGUUGCGGGCUUAGGUGGAAGAGUUCGAGUUGAGGAAUUAAAUUAUUUUUUUUAGAGAUUUUUAGGAAAUUGAUUUAGCAUCAAUUUAAUUAAUUUGAGAUGUUGUCUUAUUUAUUUGAGGAAAUUUGAUUGAUUUUGUAUCAAUAAAAUGUAUUUUAUUUUGUUUGAGAUCCUGGGUGUCUUUUAUGAAGUAUUUUGAUUUAAUGAAAUCGAGGAUUUUAUUUAGAAAAAAUUCGGGGCGUUACAGAAUGGUAUUAGAGCCUGUACCUAGCCGGAAGUGUGAGUUUAGUGAUGAUGUUGUCCGGUGUGUGUGGGCGAGUGUUUAGUAUUGACUAGCUACCACUUGUAGCCGGGUGUGGAAGUGUGAGUUUAGUGAUGAUGUUGUCCGGUGUGUGUGGGCGAGUGUUUAGUAUUGACUAGCUACCACUUGUAGCCGGGUGUGUGCGUCCGGAUGUCGUUCACUGACAGUUAUUAGGAUAAUUACUAUUAGUGAUUAGGGGCAGGUGUCCCUAGAUCACUAUCGGUUUUAUUUUGUGGAUGGGUGACGGCAUCAUCUAGUUACCACAACGGCUACAGAGUGUGUGGGCAGUUUCAGGUACCGAGGAUGAACUUGGAUUCAUAGUUGCGGGCUUAGGUGGAAGAGUUGGAGUUGAGGAAUAAAAUUAUUUUUUUUAGAGAUUUUUAGGAAAUUGAUUUAGUAUCAAUUUAAUUAAUUUGAGAUAUUGUCUUAUUUAUUUGAGGAAAUUUGAUUGAUUUUGUAUCAAUAAAGGGUAUUUUAUUUCUUUUGA